CCUUACUGCAAGCCCCGCCCGAGUGGGUCCGGCGUCAUCUGGUGGCCGCUUUCGGAACUGCGCGCGGCGAGGAGGAAGCACGACAUCGGGGUCUGGCUUCUCUCUCCCGACUUGAGAGGUCUAGGGGCCUGAGUCCGGGAGGAGAAUUUUGAUGCCCCUCCUGGCUAUGCUUCUUCCUCAUCGCUACCAUUUUUUGCUGAGAACCCCCUGGGGCAUAGGUGGGUGGAUGAGGAGGCCGUCGGUAUUACAGGAUAGUAACAGGUACAGAGUGAUAGAAAUUAAAGGAGCCCUGGAAGGGGCUGAGAGAAUCAGGGCAGGCCUCUGGGGGGAGGUCACCAAGGAAGUCAGGGGGAAGGAGUGUAUGUUUGGGAGGUGGGGUUCGGGAGCCCUGGGGCAGGUCUGGUUAAUGGGGUGCUGAGACAACAGCCUUAGUUAGAACCCUGCUCUUGGGUGCCAGCUAGACCCGAGUAUGAGGUCUUGGGCCCAUCAGUCUCCCCGAGCCUCAGUUUCCUUUGUGUAAAACCGGGACCACCGUCUUACCGUUAGUGGCACCAGAUCCUACAGCCUGGCACACAGUAGGUGCUCAAGAAAUGGCAGCUGCUGUUAUGAUCAUAGGUUGAAGACAUCCUGGGGAGGAAAGAUCAGAGGGCAGCUCCGGUGUCUCAGCUCACAAUGAAGGGAGCAAAGUGUCGCCUCCAAAUCUGUUACAGGGCCUUUUCCUAGAAGACCAGGGGGCUGAAGACAAAGGAGCUCCAUGUCAGCCAAAGUGAAUACAUCUUUGAUCUCUGAGUCUGAUCUGGCCCAUAGGACAACUGUUUCCUCCGAUUUGGAGCAUGGAUCAGAGAAGGGCUCACAUGAUUCCAGGGGACCCACCCAGCUAAUCCAGGAUAAUCUCCCCAUUUCAAGGCUAGAGAGACAGAUUGCAACUGAACUGGAAAUCAUGCUCUCCAAAGAUGAAGAAAGGGAAGCUCAGAAAGGUGAAUGACCUGCUGGAGGUCACACAGCCAGGAAGAGCUGGAGCCUGGAUCUUCUGUCCCUGGGCCCUUUGGAGCAGAUGGGGCUUGAAAGAUAUACUCUGCCUAUUUCCCAGGCGGUGAGGAGGACUGUUGGUAUGUGCACAGCCCCUCCCCAGGCUCCAGGAACACUCAGCGUCCGGGUCCUGCCAGCCAGGCACCCUUGUGCCUGCGAGCCCUGGCAGCCUGUCCGGGCCCAGAUCCAUCACCCCAGCACCAACCAUGCCCUGGGCCUGACUCCAUCCAUCCCUCUAAUGCCGCAUCGACUGUGCUCGGGCACGUUCCUGAGGCGGCCUCAAGAGCACUGAAUAAUUCAGGUCUGCGUACUGGAAUAAUGAACUUACUGACAACCCAGUGUGGUCUCGGUACUUACAUUUCAGGAAAUACUGACUCCGCAGGCCUGCUCUGCAGGCUGGAGACGUACACACGCCAAGAAACUGUUGCCUUUACCCGCCUCAUGGGGUUCAGGCCUGAUUGAGUGGAGACCCUAUUUUGGUCUCACUGAUUCUGCAGCUGCUUGGCUGCUGGAGAGUUGCUGCUAAUGACUCCCAGCUGCCCCUUCCCUGGAGACGAGCCCUCGGGCAAAUGAGAGGCUUCCCCCCCCCCCCGAAGGCCGGCCCACCCUGCCUUCCCCAGCCUGGGCAGAUGGCGGCCGAUGACCUGCUGAUGUGGUGCAAAAGGCCACCCCAAGCCUCAAGGUCACAAGGCAUGAGGGAUCUUAGCUCCCUGACCAGGGAUCGAACCUACACCCUCUGUAUUGGAAGUUGUUUUUGGUGAAGAGGUUGGUCUGAUACAAGCUAAUCCACCACAUCCAGAAGCGAUAGAAAGAGCACGGACUUUGGAGCCAGACCUCCGGGAUUCAAAUCUCAGUUCCACCAUUUACUUGUCCUGUGAUCAUGAACAAGUUUCAGGGUGAUGGUGGCUUCACAGAAUGACUGGGACUAUCCCCUCCUCUUCAAUCUUUUGGAAGUGUUUGAGAAGGAUCAGUGUAAGUUCUUCUUUGUAUGUUUGGUAGAAUUUCCCAGUGAAGCCAUCUGAUCCUGGACUUUUGUUUGCAGGAAGGUUUUUUUUGUUCUUUGUUUUUUAAAUUAUUAUUACAGAGAGCCUGAAUCCUUAAUUAACAGUGUCCUUACAGAGAAAACUCCCGGCUCCUACUGCAGCCCUUCCCAUGGCAGUUAUUGGACAUUUGUUGGUAUUAAUAAAGCUGGGACUUCAAUCCACCUUUACCUCCUUAGGCCUGUUCUAUACACUAAAACCCUGAGAGAAGAGAGUCAUGUUUUAAUCCUCCUUACCACCCUUAACCCAGAAGAAAUGUCCUGCAGCAUCUCAUAAAUACCUCCUAUUUAUUUGCAGCUUUGAAUGGGCAACAGAAGGGCCUUUUAUGAGAAUAUUUAUUAAGGGUCUAUGUGCCAAGCAAGUCAUCUCUAUUGAUGUUAUUUAAUCCACACAAGCAUCCUGCAAGAGAGACAUUAUUAUCUUCAUCUGAGGUUCAGAGAAGUGGACUGACUUGUCCAAGUUAGUGAGAAGCCAUCUGACUCCAGAGGUUAUUCUUUUUCCAUUGGACUGCAGUGAUGCCAGAACAAGCCUGCCCCUCCUUUAGGGAAAGGAAGGUCAUGACUGAGUCCUCUCCCCACCCCACAUACCAGCCCCCGUCUUCAGCUUUCAACAUCGAGUUCAGCGUUCCUGGUCCCUCCCACCCUGACUACAGUGCAUGGGAAUUUCUUCAGUGGGUCAAUGACCCUCUUACAUAGCAGCCCCCAGAACUGAACGUGGCAUUGAAAGGCAUGGUUGGCUAUUCUGGUUAUCUAUUUAUUGCUAGGUUAAAAAUUACUCCAAACUUAGUGGUGUGAAACAACCAUUUAUUAUGCUUUUAGACUCUGUGGGUCAGAAAUUCAGAUAGGGUACAACAGGGAUGCUUGAUCUCUGCUCCAUGGUGUGGGCGCCUCAGCUGGGAGAUUCAAAGGCUGAAGGUGACUCAGCCGCUGGGGGCUGGAAUCAUCUGAAGGCUUGUUCACUUGCAUGUCUGGUGGCUGGUGCUGGCUGUUGGCUGGGACCUUAGCUGGGACUCUCAGCCAGAAUAUCUGCAUGUGGCCUCUCCAGAUAACUCUGGCUUCCUCACAGGAUGGCAGCUAGAGUCCCAUGAGAGAGCCAGUUAAAAGCGUGUUGCCCUUUUUGACGAGCUCUGCUAGUUGUGCGGUAUCGUGACUGCAGCAUUCUGUUAAGUUGCCACAAAGCCCUGCCCAAUUUCCAGGGGAGGAGAAAUAGACCACUUCUCGAUAGGAGAGUGUCAAGGUUCUAGAAGAGCAGGUGGCACUGGAAAUAUUACUGUGGCCAUUUUUGGAAAAUACACUGUGCUUCACAGCCCCAGCUUAGAGGAGGCUCUCCACUUAGGAGGACCUGAGAGGCGCCCAUGAUUUAUAACUUCAUUCAUUCAAGCAACACAUAGUGUUCACCAUGUGCCAGCUGCUGCCUCCCCAACUGGUCCCCAGCUGCACAGCCGUUCAGCCCCGCCCCCACCCAGGUGCGUCCCCAGAGGCCCUGAGAGGUUUGAUCAGGAUGAGAGAACUGUGGGCUAAGCUCUCUCCAGCCUUCUGGGAGACAUUGUUCUGGGUCACUGUGGCUACAGCCCAGAGAAUAAUUUCCCCCUCUGGGGGCUGCUGUUGAAUUGAGGUUUUAUACUCUCAUUUCUGAAAGAGCAGAUGUACUGAACAGUGUCUGUUCAUUGAAGAAAAUAAUAAGUUAUUUACUUUUAUAUCGCUCUUAUUUUGUGGCCUCCAUAAAGAAGUGGUUCCUCAGUAGGAAAGAGGUUCCUGCCCUUUGGUCAGACUCAGAAGUGGGAGGAUCCAUUUGUGAAGUAGGUCCUUGUGGUGUAAAGAAGCUAGGAUUGCUCCUUUAACUCUUUAGCACACAAGUUUGGCUAGUAUAACUGGCUUACAGCUAUCACCCUGGAAAAUGUAAAGAGCUGGUCAUGACAAGUUGAGAUAUAGCUAGCAUAAUAAUCACAAUAAUAACCAAUAGGGGCUUCCUAGGUGGCGCAGUGGUUAAGAAACUGCCUGCCAAUGCAGGGGGACAUAGGUUCAAUCCCUGCUCCAGGAAGAUCCCACAUGCCACGGAGCAACUAAGCCCG